rnacentral:rRNA from 1 species
GGGUUGUGAGGUUAAGCGACUAAGCGUACACGGUGGAUGCCCUGGCAGUCAGAGGCGAUGAAGGACGUGCUAAUCUGCGAUAAGCGUCGGUAAGGUGAUAUGAACCGUUAUAACCGGCGAUUUCCGAAUGGGGAAACCCAGUGUGAUUCGUCACACUAUCAUUAACUGAAUCCAUAGGUUAAUGAGGCGAACCGGGGGAACUGAAACAUCUAAGUACCCCGAGGAAAAGAAAUCAACCGAGAUUCCCCCAGUAGCGGCGAGCGAACGGGGAGGAGCCCAGAGCCUGAAUCAGUGUGUGUGUUAGUGGAAGCGUCUGGAAAGGCGCGCGAUACAGGGUGACAGCCCCGUACACAAAAAUGCACAUACUGUGAGCUCGAUGAGUAGGGCGGGACACGUGGUAUCCUGUCUGAAUAUGGGGGGACCAUCCUCCAAGGCUAAAUACUCCUGACUGACCGAUAGUGAACCAGUACCGUGAGGGAAAGGCGAAAAGAACCCCGGCGAGGGGAGUGAAAAAGAACCUGAAACCGUGUACGUACAAGCAGUGGGAGCCUCUUAAUGGGGUGACUGCGUACCUUUUGUAUAAUGGGUCAGCGACUUAUAUUCUGUAGCAAGGUUAACCGAAUAGGGGAGCCGAAGGGAAACCGAGUCUUAACUGGGCGUUAAGUUGCAGGGUAUAGACCCGAAACCCGGUGAUCUAGCCAUGGGCAGGUUGAAGGUUGGGUAACACUAACUGGAGGACCGAACCGACUAAUGUUGAAAAAUUAGCGGAUGACUUGUGGCUGGGGGUGAAAGGCCAAUCAAACCGGGAGAUAGCUGGUUCUCCCCGAAAGCUAUUUAGGUAGCGCCUCGUGAAUUCAUCUCCGGGGGUAGAGCACUGUUUCGGCAAGGGGGUCAUCCCGACUUACCAACCCGAUGCAAACUGCGAAUACCGGAGAAUGUUAUCACGGGAGACACACGGCGGGUGCUAACGUCCGUCGUGAAGAGGGAAACAACCCAGACCGCCAGCUAAGGUCCCAAAGUCAUGGUUAAGUGGGAAACGAUGUGGGAAGGCCCAGACAGCCAGGAUGUUGGCUUAGAAGCAGCCAUCAUUUAAAGAAAGCGUAAUAGCUCACUGGUCGAGUCGGCCUGCGCGGAAGAUGUAACGGGGCUAAACCAUGCACCGAAGCUGCGGCAGCGACGCUUAUGCGUUGUUGGGUAGGGGAGCGUUCUGUAAGCCUGCGAAGGUGUGCUGUGAGGCAUGCUGGAGGUAUCAGAAGUGCGAAUGCUGACAUAAGUAACGAUAAAGCGGGUGAAAAGCCCGCUCGCCGGAAGACCAAGGGUUCCUGUCCAACGUUAAUCGGGGCAGGGUGAGUCGACCCCUAAGGCGAGGCCGAAAGGCGUAGUCGAUGGGAAACAGGUUAAUAUUCCUGUACUUGGUGUUACUGCGAAGGGGGGACGGAGAAGGCUAUGUUGGCCGGGCGACGGUUGUCCCGGUUUAAGCGUGUAGGCUGGUUUUCCAGGCAAAUCCGGAAAAUCAAGGCUGAGGCGUGAUGACGAGGCACUACGGUGCUGAAGCAACAAAUGCCCUGCUUCCAGGAAAAGCCUCUAAGCAUCAGGUAACAUCAAAUCGUACCCCAAACCGACACAGGUGGUCAGGUAGAGAAUACCAAGGCGCUUGAGAGAACUCGGGUGAAGGAACUAGGCAAAAUGGUGCCGUAACUUCGGGAGAAGGCACGCUGAUAUGUAGGUGAAGCGACUUGCUCGUGGAGCUGAAAUCAGUCGAAGAUACCAGCUGGCUGCAACUGUUUAUUAAAAACACAGCACUGUGCAAACACGAAAGUGGACGUAUACGGUGUGACGCCUGCCCGGUGCCGGAAGGUUAAUUGAUGGGGUUAGCGGUAACGCGAAGCUCUUGAUCGAAGCCCCGGUAAACGGCGGCCGUAACUAUAACGGUCCUAAGGUAGCGAAAUUCCUUGUCGGGUAAGUUCCGACCUGCACGAAUGGCGUAAUGAUGGCCAGGCUGUCUCCACCCGAGACUCAGUGAAAUUGAACUCGCUGUGAAGAUGCAGUGUACCCGCGGCAAGACGGAAAGACCCCGUGAACCUUUACUAUAGCUUGACACUGAACAUUGAGCCUUGAUGUGUAGGAUAGGUGGGAGGCUUUGAAGUGUGGACGCCAGUCUGCAUGGAGCCGACCUUGAAAUACCACCCUUUAAUGUUUGAUGUUCUAACGUUGGCCCCUAAUCGGGGUUGCGGACAGUGUCUGGUGGGUAGUUUGACUGGGGCGGUCUCCUCCUAAAGAGUAACGGAGGAGCACGAAGGUUGGCUAAUCCUGGUCGGACAUCAGGAGGUUAGUGCAAUGGCAUAAGCCAGCUUGACUGCGAGCGUGACGGCGCGAGCAGGUGCGAAAGCAGGUCAUAGUGAUCCGGUGGUUCUGAAUGGAAGGGCCAUCGCUCAACGGAUAAAAGGUACUCCGGGGAUAACAGGCUGAUACCGCCCAAGAGUUCAUAUCGACGGCGGUGUUUGGCACCUCGAUGUCGGCUCAUCACAUCCUGGGGCUGAAGUAGGUCCCAAGGGUAUGGCUGUUCGCCAUUUAAAGUGGUACGCGAGCUGGGUUUAGAACGUCGUGAGACAGUUCGGUCCCUAUCUGCCGUGGGCGCUGGAGAACUGAGGGGGGCUGCUCCUAGUACGAGAGGACCGGAGUGGACGCAUCACUGGUGUUCGGGUUGUCAUGCCAAUGGCACUGCCCGGUAGCUAAAUGCGGAAGAGAUAAGUGCUGAAAGCAUCUAAGCACGAAACUUGCCCCGAGAUGAGUUCUCCCUGACUCCCUGAGAGUCCUGAAGGAACGUUGAAGACGACGACGUUGAUAGGCCGGGUGUGUAAGCGCAGCGAUGCGUUGAGCUAACCGGUACUAAUGAACCGUGAGGCUUAACCUUACAACGCCGAAGCUGUU